rnacentral:rRNA from 1 species
UACGUAGGGGGCAAGCGUUGUCCGGAAUCAUUGGGCGUAAAGAGCGUGUAGGUGGCUCGGUCAGUCUGGUGUGAAAACUUGAGGCUCAACCUCAAGCUGUCAUCGGAUACUGCCGGGCUAGAGUCCGGAAGAGGCGAGUGGAAUUCCUGGUGUAGCGGUGGAAUGCGCAGAUAUCAGGAGGAACACCGAUGGCGAAGGCAGCUCGCUGGGACGGUACUGACGCUGAGGCGCGAAAGCGUGGGGAGCGAACAGG